rnacentral:rRNA from 1 species
GACGAACGCUGGCGGCGUGCUUAACACAUGCAAGUCGAACGGAAAGGCCCUGCUUUUGUGGGGUGCUCGAGUGGCGAACGGGUGAGUAACACGUGAGUAACCUGCCCUUGACUUUGGGAUAACUUCAGGAAACUGGGGCUAAUACCGGAUAGGAGCUCCUGCUGCAUGGUGGGGGUUGGAAAGUUUCGGCGGUUGGGGAUGGACUCGCGGCUUAUCAGCUUGUUGGUGGGGUAGUGGCUUACCAAGGCUUUGACGGGUAGCCGGCCUGAGAGGGUGACCGGCCACAUUGGGACGAGGAUACGGCCCAGCCCCCAACGGGGGGCAGCAGUGGGGAAUAUUGCAAAAGGGGCGGAAGCCGGAUGCAGCAACGCCGGGGGGGGGAGGGCGGCCUUCGGGUUGUAAACCGCUUUCGCCGGUGACGAAGGGGGGGGGAGGGUAAGGGGUAAAGAAGCCCCGGCUAACUACGU